AAGCAAAAAGUACAGUAAUAAUAACAUCAGCCAAGAAGAGCAUUCUCAGAAAAAAAAUCUCAAAAAACAACAAAUCAUAAUGCUAAGAACAUGAAAACUACACUCCAUCACUUGACUUCAGCUUCAUUCUUGGCACAGCAGAGUUGUGACUAGGUCAUAAUGUCAAUCAGUGCCAAAGAGAAGGAGGUUACUGACUGAUUAAUGAAUAUGUAUGGAUCCAAAUGGUAAAGGAGCUCCUGACGGGAUCUGAGGCACCUGUUUUUCACUGUUGUAGCAGAAAUGUUAAGUCACAGCCUGAACCAGUGAUUGAGCACCUGGUGGGAAGGCAGGGCCAACCCAGGGGAGCUCAGGUGCAUGCAAUGAACCUGAGUGAGCAGAAGGGGUGCAGGCAGGAUCCGCCCCUUCCCAGACUUCAUUUAAAGGUUGGCAGUGGAGGCAAGGGUAUCUUGCUGAAGAUUGCUGCAUAUCUCAGGUCUUCCUAAGGUAAGCAGUUUUCCUUUCUUUGUUUUUGCUUCCAUAUCUGCUUCAUCUGGGCUUGUUCUCGUUUGCUAUAGACUAGGAUUGUGCUACUCUGCUGUUAUUGCUAUACUUUCCAUCACAUUAUAGCAUUACAAUUGUCACCAGCUGUUAAUUCAACUCCUAUACUGUUGUGUCAUGCUCACACCUCAGUGCUGUAAAAUUAC
rnacentral:lncRNA from 1 species